AGGACGAACGCUGGCGGCGUGCCUAACACAUGCAAGUCGAGCGAUGAAGCUUCUUCGGAAGUGGAUUAGCGGCGGACGGGUGAGUAACACGUGGGUAACCUGCCUCAUAGUGGGGAAUAGCCUUUCGAAAGGAAGAUUAAUACCGCAUAAGAUUGUAGCUUCGCAUGAAGUAGCAAUUAAAGGAUUUAUUCGCUAUGAGAUGGACCCGCGGCGCAUUAGCUAGUUGGUGAGGUAAACGGGCCCACCAAGGCGACGAUGCGUAGCCGACCUGAGAGGGUGAUCGGCCACAUUGGAACUGAGACACGGGUCCAGACUCCUACGGGAGGCAGCAGUGGGGAAUAUUGCACAAUGGGGGAAACCCUGAUGCAGCAACGCCGCGUGAGUGAUGACGGUCUUCGGAUUGUAAAGCUCUGUCUUUAGGGACGAUAAUGACGGUACCUAAGGAGGAAGCCACGGCUAACUACGUG
rnacentral:rRNA from 1 species